GUCUAUGGCCAUACCACCCUGAACACGCCUAUCUCGUCUGAUCUCAGUAGCUAAGCAGGGUUGGGCCUGGUUAGUAUUUGGAUGGGAGAUAUGCAUAUUUUAAACAUAAUCAAAAUAACCAUAAAAA
ensembl:rRNA 5S_rRNA 5S ribosomal RNA